rnacentral:rRNA from 1 species
UCGACUUGGAGGUUGUGGCUUCCGGAGCUAACGCGUUAAGUCGACCGCCUGGGGAGUACGGCCGCAAGGUUAAAACUCAAAUGAAUUGACGGGGGCCCGCACAAGCGGUGGAGCAUGUGGUUUAAUUCGAUGCAACGCGAAGAACCUUACCUGGUCUUGACAUCCAGGUGCUGCAUGGCUGUCGUCAGCUCGUGUUGUGAAAUGUUGGGUUAAGUCCCGCAACGAGCGCAACCCUUAUCCUUUGUUGCAACUCAAAGGAGACUGCCAGUGAUAAACUGGAGGAAGGUGGGGAUGACGUCAAGUCAUCAUGGCCCUUACGACCAGGGCUACACACGUGCUACAAUGGCGCAUACAAAGAGAAGCGACCUCGCGAGAGCAAGCGGACCUCAUAAAGUGCGUCGUAGUCCGGAUUGGAGUCUGCAACUCGACUCCAUGAAGUCGGAAUCGCUAGUAAUCGUGGAUCAGAUGCCACGGUGAAUACGUUCCCGGGCCUUGUACACACCGCCCGUCACACCAUGGGAGUGGGUUGCAAAAGAAGUAGGUUACCACUUUGUGAUUCAUGACUGGGGUGAAGUCGUAACAAGGUAACGAA